GCCAGGCCAGCAUCAGCGAGCACCAUAAUUUACAUCACGUUACGUUGCUUUAGAAUCAUUACUGCAUAUCAAACAAGUAACGUUAAGUGGAAAUAAAUGUGUUGACAUUCAAAGCCUGGAUAUGAAGCCUAAUAUCUGGAAUAUAAAGGAGAUGUUGAACAUCCUCGCAACUCUUGGAGGGAUAAACAAUGAUAAGGGUCCGGGAACCAGUGACUACUCCAGCCUGAGUGACUCCCAGUUUCUGUUGGGCUCUCAGAUGUGGCCUG